rnacentral:rRNA from 1 species
UGGGGAAUUUUGGACAAUGGGCGAAAGCCUGAUCCAGCAAUGCCGCGUGUGUGAAGAAGGCCUUCGGGUUGUAAAGCACUUUUGUCCGGAAAGAAAUCCUUGGCUCUAAUACAGUCGGGGGAUGACGGUACCGGAAGAAUAAGCACCGGCUAACUACGUGCCAGCAGCCGCGGUAAUACGUAGGGUGCAAGCGUUAAUCGGAAUUACUGGGCGUAAAGCGUGCGCAGGCGGUUUGCUAAGACCGAUGUGAAAUCCCCGGGCUCAACCUGGGAACUGCAUUGGUGACUGGCAGGCUAGAGUAUGGCAGAGGGGGGUAGAAUUCCACGUGUAGCAGUGAAAUGCGUAGAGAUGUGGAGGAAUACCGAUGGCGAAGGCAGCCCCCUGGGCCAAUACUGACGCUCAUGCACGAAAAGCGUGGGGGAGCAAACAGGAUUAGAUACCCUGGUAGUCCACGCCCUAAAACGAUGUCAACUAGUUGUUGGGGAUUCAUUUCCUUAGUAACGUAGCUAACGCGUGAAGUUGACCGCCUGGGGAGUACGGUCGC